rnacentral:rRNA from 1 species
GGAAUAUUGGACAAUGGGGGGAACCCUGAUCCAGCCAUGCCGCGUGUGUGAAGAAGGCCUUUUGGUUGUAAAGCACUUUAAGCGAGGAGGAGGCUCCCUAGACUAAUACUCUAGGAGAGUGGACGUUACUCGCAGAAUAAGCACCGGCUAACUCUGUGCCAGCAGCCGCGGUAAUACAGAGGGUGCAAGCGUUAAUCGGAUUUACUGGGCGUAAAGGGUACGUAGGUGGUCUUUUAAGUCGGAUGUGAAAUCCCUGAGCUUAACUUAGGAAUUGCAUUCGAUACUGGGAGACUAGAGUAUGGGAGAGGAUGGUAGAAUUCCAGGUGUAGCGGUGAAAUGCGUAGAGAUCUGGAGGAAUACCGAUGGCGAAGGCAGCCAUCUGGCCUAAUACUGACACUGAGGUACGAAAGCAUGGGGAGCAAACAGGAUUAGAUACCCCGG